rnacentral:rRNA from 1 species
UGUGCGCAAGUCCAAGGGCUCUACGAAACCUACGGGCGCAAUGAAAGUGAAGGGGAUAGGGGCAACCCACCCUGAGGCAGGAUCCUGGCCUUGAGUGGCUGGGCGCACUGCCGGCCCGUCACAAUACCGGUAAACAAGAGGUGGACUGGCUGCCUUUCAAGCGAAGGGGAGGUUUAAGACCCUGGAGUUGACCGGGUCCCCCCUGGUAGCGGCGGCCAGGUCGAAGCUUCAUAGGCCCGGUUAUUUAAGUUAGCCGCGGAACCUCGGUGUGGCGGAGCUAGAGCGUACACGUUGGGACCCGAAAGAUGGUGAACUAUGCCUGGGCAGGCUGAAGCCAAGGGAAACCUUGGUGGAGGGCCGCAGAGAUUCUGACGUGCAAAUCGAUCUUCCGACCUGGGUAUAGGGGCGAAAGACUAAUCGAACCAUCUAGUAGCUGGUUCCCUCCGAAGUUUCCCUCAGGAUAGCUGGUACUCGGGAAGCAGUUGUAUCCGGUAAAGCCAAUGAUUAGAGCGUCCGGGGGCGAAAGGCCCUCGGCCUAUUCUCAAACUUUAAAUGGGUACGAUAUCCCCCCGGCCUGACCGCGGUGGGAGUACUGAAUGCGAGAACCAAGU